rnacentral:lncRNA from 1 species
CCCCACAGCCUCCUUCUGCACAAGACGAAUCAGGACCAGGAUGGUACAUCAGCAGGAACAAUAGCAGGUAUUGGCUAUGCAUUUAAGAACAAAUGUUUGCUGCUUAAUAAAGAAUCACUCAGUUUGGACUAUUUAAUCCAACUUCUACGAUGCCUGUUAGCAAUCUAUAAGUGCGCGAGGUCACCUAACCAAGGAAUAACACCUUUUAUCAAUACCUGUUGUGUCAUGUGGCGUUAUGUUGCAAUGGAUUGUGGACUUUGCCAUCUGUUUUUAAGUAAAUAUGGACUUACAUAUAUGUUUUAAAUAAACAAAUGCAAAUUUUUGUAUGCAC